rnacentral:rRNA from 1 species
GACGAACGCUGGCGGCGUGCUUAACACAUGCAAGUCGAACGGAAAGGCCCUGCUUUUGUGGGGUGCUCGAGUGGCGAACGGGUGAGUAACACGUGAGUAACCUGCCCUUGACUUUGGGAUAACUUCAGGAAACUGGGGCUAAUACCGGAUAGGAGCUCCUGCUGCAUGGUGGGGGUUGGAAAGUUUCGGCGGUUGGGGAUGGACUCGCGGCUUAUCAGCUUGUUGGUGGGGUAGUGGCUUACCAAGGCUUUGACGGGUAGCCGGCCUGAGAGGGUGACCGGCCACAUUGGGACUGAGAUACGGCCCAGACUCCUACGGGAGGCAGAAGUGGGGAAUAUUGCACAAUGGGCGGAAGCCUGAUGCAGCAACGCCGCGUGCGGGAUGACGGCCUUCGGGUUGUAAACCGCUUUCGCCUGUGACGAAGCGUGAGUGACGGUACUGGGUAAAGAAGCACCGGCUAACUACGUG